rnacentral:tRNA from 1 species
GCCGAUGUGGUGGAAUUGGUAGACACGCUGUCUUGAGGGGGCAGUGGCGUAAGCCGUGCCGGUUCGACUCCGGCCAUCGGCACCA